GACGAACGCUGGCGGCGUGCUUAACACAUGCAAGUCGAACGAAGAGCGACGGAAGCUUGCUUCUAUCAAUCUUAGUGGCGCACGGGUGAGUAACGCGUAAUCAACCUGCCCUUCAGAGGGGGACAACAGUUGGAAACGACUGCUAAUACCGCAUACGAUCUAACCUCGGCAUCGAGGAUAGAUGAAAGGUGGCCUCUACAUGUAAGCUAUCACUGCAGGAGGGGAUUGCGUCUGAUUAGCUAGUUGGAGGGGUAACGGCCCACCAAGGCGAUGAUCAGUAGCCGGUCUGAGAGGAUGAACGGCCACAUUGGGACUGAGACACGGCCCAGACUCCUACGGGAGGCAGCAGUGGGGAAUCUUCCGCAAUGGACGAAAGUCUGACGGAGCAACGCCGCGUGAGUGAUGACGGCCUUCGGGUUGUAAAGCUCUGUUAAUCGGGACGAAAGGCCUUCUUGCGAAUAGUGAGAAGGAUUGACGGUACCGGAAUAGAAAGCCACGGCUAACUACGUG
rnacentral:rRNA from 1 species